rnacentral:pre_miRNA from 1 species
UCUCUGGCCUAGCCUGUCAAAGCGGCUGUGAAAUGUCUUAUCGUCUCAUAUCACAGCCACUUUGAUGUGGUCGGUUUA